CUAAACAUGCUCCUGAUAGUCAAUGUAAUAAGAUAACAAAAAAUAGAAAUGAAACGAUAAAAAUAAAAUAAAAUAAAUUAAUUAAAGCAUGUAACAAUUUUAUUUAUGUUUGGCUUUUCUCCUCAUUCCCACAACAUAUCGGCAUUACUCCAAAAAACCGAAACCAUAUUGAAUAAAUCUUUCAGCAGACGAAUCAACCAAAUCACGAACUGAAAAUAAGAUGAGCAAAGUGAUGGAUUUGAAGUAUGACAGGAGCCACCUAAAACCUCACCGGUUUAACUCACAGUAAUCUCUUAACAAAAAAAAAACUACUAGCAUCUAAAUGACGAGACCCUAACAAUGCUCCCACGAGAUGUCUGUGAAAAAAAUUAAUUUUUACUCGCCCCAAAGCCUUUUCCUUCAAGAAUCUACAAACAAUAGGUUAUUACCAAGAACAUAUAUUAUAAUAUGUAAAAAUGAGUCAGGUGGAAUUUUAAUGAGAAAAUCAAGUGCCUCAAAUCCUAAAGCAUGACUGCCAAUGCUCCCUAACCCCUCUGAAAUACAGAGAAAACCUUUUCACAAAUGAACCUCUCAUGCAAAUUCAAUCGAGAUUUUAUGGAACCAAAAUAUUGAUUGCGCACUUAUAUUGUAAAAGAAAGGGAGUUGUCGGAGAGUCAGCAAAUGACCAUAUAGUUCAUAUCAAAUCAGAUAACCUAGACUCAAAGCAGAUUACAGUCAAACAAUUACACAAUUUAAAGAUUGAGGGCCUAACGAAGAGAAAACUUAUGAAAUCUUCUCGAUCACUCACUUUUGUUCAAAAGAAAAAUUCACCAUACCAAGUGAAAAAGUAAGAAACAUAUGAUGAAAAAUAGUUAUAGCAGAUUUAAACACCCUUGCAACUAAUCGAGCACAUUCUGAUAGAUAAUUUAGAUAAUAGUGAAACCAAACCACACUUCAAUCCAGACAUUUGAAACUAAGCCAAACCUGAUCUACUCGCAACGACACUUAACUUUUAUUGUUAUACUCUUGUUAAGAAAGCUGAUCCGACAUGGAUUGAAGAAAAUCGCAACUAACUCAAGAUGGUCGGGCUAUAUCUUUUAAUGACUGAGUUGCAAAAUAGCAGAACCUAACAACUCUAGUUUAAUUGAACCAAGCAGUUUUGAAAAGAAAUGACUCUUCAAAACAGUUAAUGAGCUGUGUAUUAUCCCAGAAUUUUAUUCCAAACAACUCUAAAUCAACCCCUCCAAACUAAACCUCAAGCGAUUUCUGAAUCUGACAAACCUAAAGUUCCAAUCAUAUUUCAAUCACCAAAAAUAGAGUCGAGAAAACAGAAAUGAACCUGAAUGUGAAAACUUUGAUUAAUUCUGCUUUGAAUCAAAUACAAGUGAAUCCGGCGAUGAAAAAUCCCAAGAGGACAGCAGAUACAAUGCGAUAAGAUGCCAAAACCACGAACUCGAAUUCGAAUGGCCAACUCGAUCUCGGCUCAAUCAAUCUUCACGUCGAAACCAAAAAUCAGAAUUAAAAUUGAAGAGGGCAGAACUAUAUUAUAUUUUGGUUUUUUUUUUUACUUUUUAUUUCGAAAAUGGAACAAUACUUGAACAAAACCAAACUCAAACUUUUGUUUGUAUUUUUUGUUUUCUGGAAUUCGAACUCAACCAAAAAAUGGACCAAAGAAACAAACUCCCUAUUAGAAGCUAAUUCCGAAAAAACCCUCCUCCAAAAUCCGAGAAAUCACCCCAAUAUAUAGGGGGUCUCGAAUCUUCCAUUCUUCUUACCAAGAAAUCGCGUGUGGAGACCUCAAACAAAAAUCUGAAAAUUUCAUUUUUAACAAAAAUCAAAAAAUGGAAGUCUUGGAUCAAAGUUUAAUCUAACGGCUCCCAUUUUCCAACAUUUAUUUUCAAGGAUUCGGAUUUUCUGGUUUAAACAAAGGAAAUAAAAGAAGAAAUCCGCAAAAUCGGAUUGAAAUGAUGAGAUUUGGUACGAAAUGGAUGACGUGGGAGAAGGAGAAGAUGAGGAGGGACCAUGGGGGGACCAGGCCGAGCGAACUCGUCCGAUUCCAGCAAGUUCCGGCAGGUUUGGAGACGGCAGAGAUGAGGGUUGCGGCUGGUCUUAGGUUUUUAGGAUUAGAGUUUGGGAUUAUGUUUGGGGUGUUAUGUGUUUGGGGGAGUUGAU
rnacentral:lncRNA from 1 species